CCCCUAUAUAUUAAUUGAGAAACAUUUGAAAAGUUAUAACCUGUAUUUUGUACUAAUUAAAAAACGUCUUUGCUUAUGUGUCAGUUAAUUAGGCUAUUAAUUUUGCUUACGUGUCACCAUAUGAAUCAAUUGAAAAAUAUGUCUGUCCAAAUCCAAUUGCUAGGAAAUGUAAUAUUUAAGGAGGCAGGUGUAAGUGUAUAACAUUUUAUGCAUGUAUACGAAAUGUGAAAUAUGAUAUACGCUAACAAACAUAUAAACUAUAGUUGAGCAUAAAAAGAGAACAAAAAUUGCGAUUGAUUUACUCGAUCAUAAGAACAUGGGGAUUGAUAAACAAUAUUGACGUUGGGAGGAAACUAAAAGAUGAAAAGCAAUACUCUAGCGUAACAAGUUGAUAAACAAUACUCUGCCAUACAAAGUUGACACCCAAAACUAUGAUGAUAAUUUAUUCAUCCGAACAAGUUGACAAACAAACAAAACCUGACACCUUCUUCUGUUAGUAUAUAGUAACAAUUAUAAUACUUAAUUUCUCAUGGAAAAUUUCAAGAUAAAACCUUGGCAGCCAUUGUAGUUAUGAUAUUACAGUUCUGUAUAACCGAGAAUUGAAAAACAGAAGAAGGUGUCUGGUUUUGUU
rnacentral:lncRNA from 1 species